rnacentral:lncRNA from 1 species
GUCGGAAUUGGUCAGACAGAAGUUAAAAAUUAUAAACAUUGCCGAUUGCUGGGAAUACCUGGGUAGCGAGCGGCACUGGGCCGUGCCCUAAGCUGGCUAACCGUAUUGGGUUAGCGUAUCGAGUACGCUGACCACCGAAAAGGGAGACGUUCGAAUCAACUUGAAAGCCAAAAGCGAUGAAAAUCUUUCGUGGUGAGUUGACGCUGGUUUGAAAUAUGUUACUUGUCUGGUAUAUUUUAAUUAGUUAAAGGCUGUGCUGUGUUACGUUAAUAGAGACAGUAGUAGUAGUAGUAGUAGUAGUAGUAAUAGUUUGGUUGUUGUUGUUAUUAUUAUUAAUAUAGUCACUUCGCUCGUAUUAAGCUGUGAUGUAAUAAUGUAUUUCACUCGCUGACUCGUUUAAGGACAAUGUUCUGGCUUAUUGAUAUCUUGAUGUCUACUUGUUUUCCCCCAUUUUCUCUCUCUCUCUCUCUCUCUCUCUCUCUCUCUCUCUCUCUCUCUCUCUCUAUCUCUCUCUCUCUCUAUCAAUCUAUCUAUCUAGCUAUCUAUCUAUUUCCUUGUCUACCUCUCCGUUUCAAACACACAUACUGAUAUAUAUAUAUAUAUAUAUAUAUAUAUAUAUAUAUAUAUAUAUAUAUAUAUAUGUAUAUAUAUAUAUAUAUAUAUAUAUAUAUAUAUAACACGUGUAGAAUGAAAUAAAACGAUUUCUGUUCAAUCUGCGUUCAGCUCCAUUUCUUCAAUUCACCAAUUAUAUAUAUAUAUAUAUAUAUAUAUAUAUAUAUAUAUAUACAUAUAUAUAUACCGGAGUAAACACACAAAUGUGAAACAAGGUGGAAAAAAGAGUACUCAAAUACCAGUGGUAGAGUAAUAUACUGUAUUUAAAAGCAGCAGAAAAUUCAACAAAACCUGUUACUCGGAGUUCCACGUUCCCGUUCGUCCGACGAACGGAAACGUGAAACUCCGAGUAACGGGUUUUUAAAUAAAGUAUAUAUAUAAAUAUAUAUAUAUAUAUAUAUAUAUAUAUAUAUGCACACACGUACACAGACGUACACACACGUACACACACACAUGUGUAUGUAGUUAGGUAUGUGUAUAUGUAUGUGGAUGUAUCCAUAGUAGGCACGUUUGUAUGUAUGUAUCCGUGCAUGUAUGUUCGCGUAUGUGUUUAAUGUUUGUAUGUAUGCAUGUAUCCAUGCACGUAUUUGUAUAUGUAUGCAUACAUGAGUCUGUCUCAGUGUGUGUGUGUGUGUGUGUGUGUGUGUGUUUUAUCUGCAUCUACAUGUCUAGGCAUGAUUAGUUUGUCUGUCUAUCGCGUUGCCUAAGCUCGUCUGUCUAUCCCUGCUAUAUCCGAAUUUGUCACUGUAUUUUCUUAGUCCAUCUGUCUAUCCCGUGUGUGUCUUUCUAUUUAUGUUUCCCUGCGCUUAUUUAUCUUUCUCUAUCUAUCCAUCCGUCCAUCUAUGUCUCUAUCUGACUAGUUAUCAAUCAAUCUAUCAAUCUAUAUCUGACUACCUAUCAAUCUUUCUAUCUAUCUAUCUAUCUAUCUAUCUAUCUAUCUAUCUAUCUAUCUAUCUAUCUAUCUAUCUAUCUAUCUAGCUACCUAUCUAUCUAUCUAUCUAUCUAUCUACCUAUCUAUUCCUAUCUAUCUAUCUAUCUAUCUAUCUAUCUACAUAUCUAUCUAUCUAUCUAUCUAUCUAUCUAUCUAUCUAUCUAUCUAUCUUCAUAUCUAUCUAUCUAUCUAUCUAUCUAUCUAUCUAUCUAUCUAUCUAUCUAUCUAUCUAUCUAUCUAUCUAUCUAUCUAUCUACCUAUCUAUCUAUCUAUCUAUCUAUCUACCUAUCUUUCUACCUAUCUAUCUAUCUAUCUAUCAAGAUGUUUAUCCAGUUACUUACUUGUCAGCAAUCCUGAUGUAUUUAAGUAUGUGUAUUUCUCCAAUUAUAUUCGUAUAUCUGUUCAUCUCUAUAUACCUAUAUGUGUCUCUCUGUCUCUUCCUGUCCGUCUUUCUCUUGUCCAUCCAUCAUUCACAUCAGAGAAGGAGGGAAAGAAAGAGACAGACAGGUAGACAGGUAGACAGACAGACAGAUAGAUAGACAGACAGAUAGAUAGAUAGAUAGAUAGAUAGAUAGAUAGAUAGAUAGAUAGAUAGAUAGAUAGAUAGAUAGAUAGAUAGAUAGAUAGAAAGGAAGAGAGAGGAUGAGUAUGCGCGAGAGAUUAGCUGUGUAGUUCAUUUAGGCCAACAGGAUUAACCCCACCCCCACCUUAUAGCAAUCCCCACUAUCUCCGCACAGUCUCAUAGUCUCCAGUACCACAGUUGCUUAACCCGCUACAUACUGCAUCAGCUCUGGCAUUGCUACCUGUCAACAAAUUUAGCUGUUUAUUAUUAACUUCUGCACAGAUGUCUCCCCACUAGUUGCUUGCUAUUCGCAGUUCAAUGGUAUACUCUGUUUCUGGCGAAAUGCUCAGCGGUAUUUCGUCUGCCGUUACGUUCUGAGAUCAAAUUCCGCCGAG